GAUGAACGCUGGCGGCGUGCUUAACACAUGCAAGUCGAACGAAGCAUUUACGACAGAUUUCUUCGGAUUGAAGUUGUUUAUGACUGAGUGGCGGACGGGUGAGUAACGCGUGGGUAACCUGCCUUGUACUGGGGGAUAGCAGCUGGAAACGGCUGGUAAUACCGCAUAAGCGCACAAUGUUGCAUGACAUGGUGUGAAAAACUCCGGUGGUAUAAGAUGGACCCGCGUCUGAUUAGCUAGUUGGUGAGAUAACAGCCCACCAAGGCGACGAUCAGUAGCCGACCUGAGAGGGUGACCGGCCACAUUGGGACUGAGACACGGCCCAGACUCCUACGGGAGGCAGCAGUGGGGAAUAUUGCACAAUGGGGGAAACCCUGAUGCAGCGACGCCGCGUGGAGGAAGAAGGUCUUCGGAUUGUAAACUCCUGUUGUUGAGGAAGAUAAUGACGGUACUCAACAAGGAAGUGACGGCUAACUACGUGCCAGCAG
rnacentral:rRNA from 1 species